GCCCGGGUGGCGGAAUUGGUAGACGCGCUAGGUUCAGGGUCUAGUCUCCAUUGGAGGUGCUGGUUCGAUCCCAGUCCCGGGCA
rnacentral:tRNA from 1 species